CAAGAUAAGAUAUCCCUUCCCGUGGAGACACGGGAACUGAAGACCCCUCGUAGACUACGAGGUUGAUAGGCCGGAUGUGUAAGCGCGGUAACGCGUUGAGCUAACCGGUCCUAAUAGGUCGUGCGGCUUGGCCAU
rnacentral:ncRNA from 1 species